UCUGGUGUCAGCCGCCGCGGUAAAACCAGCACCUCAAGUGGUCAGGAUGAUUAUUGGGCCUAAAGCAUCCGUAGCCUGCUUUGUUAGUUUUCGGUUAAAUCCAUACGCUCAACGUAUGGGCUGCCGGGAAUACUGCAAAGCUAGGGAGUGGGAGAGGUAGACGGUACUCGGUAGGAAGGGGUAAAAUCCUUUGAUCUAUUGAUGACCACCUGUGGCGAAGGCGGUCUACCAGAACACGUCCGACGGUGAGGGAUGAAAGCUGGGGGAGCAAACCGGAUUAGAUACCCGGGUAGUCCCAGCUGUAAACUAUGCAAACUCGGUGAUGCAUUGGCUUGAUGCCGAUGCAGUGCCGCAGGGAAGCCGUUAAGUUUGCCGCCUGGGAAGUACGUACGCAAGUAUGAAACUUAAAGGAAUUGGCGGGGGAGCACCACAAGGGGUGAAGCCUGCGGUUCAAUUGGAGUCAACGCCAGAAAUCUUACCCGGAGAGACAGCAGAAUGAAGGUCAAGCUGAAGACUUUACCAGACAAGCU
rnacentral:rRNA from 2 species